rnacentral:rRNA from 1 species
GACGAACGCUGGCGGCGUGCUUAACACAUGCAAGUCGAACGGAAAGGCCCUGCUUUUGUGGGGUGCUCGAGUGGCGAACGGGUGAGUAACACGUGAGUAACCUGCCCUUGACUUUGGGAUAACUUCAGGAAACUGGGGCUAAUACCGGAUAGGAGCUCCUGCUGCAUGGUGGGGGUUGGAAAGUUUCGGCGGUUGGGGAUGGACUCGCGGCUUAUCAGCUUGUUGGUGGGGUAGUGGCUUACCAAGGCUUUGACGGGUAGCCGGCCUGAGAGGGUGACCGGCCACAUUGGGACUGAGGUACGGCCCAGACUCCUACGGGAGGCAGCAGGGGGGAAUAUUGCACAAUGGGCGGGAGCCUGAUGCAGCAACGCCGCGUGCGGGAUGACGGCCUUCGGGUUGUAAACCGCUUUCGCCUGUGACGAAGCGUGAGUGACGGUAAUGGGUAAAGAAGCACCGGCUAACUACGUG